CGCGGGGCGGCCUGGGAAAGUCACCAGUCAGCAGCGCAGUGGCGGGAACCGCAGCCCGGCGGCCCUGGAACCUCCCAGGGUUUGUGGACUUUCAGUGCUAUGAUUGUGAACUUAGUGUAGAAGGUGUGGGAAUGUCUCGACCCUGCUCACAAGGCAUUUUGCAGGGAUCUGUUGGAGAACUGCAACAGUCUGGAUUCUGAGGGUGUUUUCUUCUUACGCUUUUGUUCCAUGCAAAGUUCCAGGUGCUUUCUGAAGAAUCUCUUUCUCCUAUGCAGCCUCACAAGGUCGGUCAGUCCUGCUCACCUGUGCAUCAGAACAAAGAGCCCUGGAUGGAGAAGAGAGAGGAGACAGUAGCCAAGGAUCCAGGUGUGUUAGAGGGUCUGAG